UGCACCGAAGCUGCGGCAGCGAACGUAUCACUUAAAGCGAUUCAGCGGAUGACGAUUGACGGAGCGAAGCGACGUCAAAGCGUAUACAAAGUCGAGUCGGUUUAAGGAUACGUUCGUUGGGUAGGGGAGCGUUCUGUAAGCCUGCGAAGGUGGCCUGUGAGGGUUGCUGGAGGUAUCAGAAGUGCGAAUGCUGACAUAAGUAACGAUAAAGCGGGUGAAAAGCCCGCUCGCCGGAAGACCAAGGGUUCCUGUCCAACGUUAAUCGGGGCAGGGUGAGUCGACCCCUAAGGCGAGGCCGAAAGGCGUAGUCGAUGGGAAACGGGUUAAUAUUCCCGUACUUGGUGUUACUGCGAAGGGGGGACGGAGAAGGCUAUGUUGGCCGGGCGACGGUUGUCCCGGUUUAAGCGUGUAGGUGUGUGUUCCAGGUAAAUCCGGUUCACUUUAACACUGAGGCGUGACGACGAGGCACUACGGUGCUGAAGCAACAAAUGCCCUGCUUCCAGGAAAAGCCUCUAAGCAUCAGGUAACAUCAAAUCGUACCCCAAACCGACACAGGUGGUCAGGUAGAGAAUACCAAGGCGCUUGAGAGAACUCGGGUGAAGGAACUAGGCAAAAUGGUGCCGUAACUUCGGGAGAAGGCACGCUGACACGUAGGUGAAGUGAUUUACUCAUGGAGCUGAAGUCAGUCGAAGAUACCAGCUGGCUGCAACUGUUUAUUAAAAACACAGCACUGUGCAAACACGAAAGUGGACGUAUACGGUGUGACGCCUGCCCGGUGCCGGAAGGUUAAUUGAUGGGGUCAGCGCAAGCGAAGCUCCUGAUCGAAGCCCCGGUAAACGGCGGCCGUAACUAUAACGGUCCUAAGGUAGCGAAAUUCCUUGUCGGGUAAGUUCCGACCUGCACGAAUGGCGUAAUGAUGGCCAGGCUGUCUCCACCCGAGACUCAGUGAAAUUGAACUCGCUGUGAAGAUGCAGUGUACCCGCGGCAAGACGGAAAGACCCCGUGAACCUUUACUAUAGCUUGACACUGAACAUUGAGCCUUGAUGUGUAGGAUAGGUGGGAGGCUUUGAAGUGUGGACGCCAGUCUGCAUGGAGCCGACCUUGAAAUACCACCCUUUAAUGUUUGAUGUUCUAACGUGGACCCGUAAUCCGGGUUGCGGACAGUGUCUGGUGGGUAGUUUGACUGGGGCGGUCUCCUCCUAAAGAGUAACGGAGGAGCACGAAGGUUGGCUAAUCCUGGUCGGACAUCAGGAGGUUAGUGCAAUGGCAUAAGCCAGCUUGACUGCGAGCGUGACGGCGCGAGCAGGUGCGAAAGCAGGUCAUAGUGAUCCGGUGGUUCUGAAUGGAAGGGCCAUCGCUCAACGGAUAAAAGGUACUCCGGGGAUAACAGGCUGAUACCGCCCAAGAGUUCAUAUCGACGGCGGUGUUUGGCACCUCGAUGUCGGCUCAUCACAUCCUGGGGCUGAAGUAGGUCCCAAGGGUAUGGCUGUUCGCCAUUUAAAGUGGUACGCGAGCUGGGUUUAGAACGUCGUGAGACAGUUCGGUCCCUAUCUGCCGUGGGCGCUGGAGAACUGAGGGGGGCUGCUCCUAGUACGAGAGGACCGGAGUGGACGCAUCACUGGUGUUCGGGUUGUCAUGCCAAUGGCACUGCCCGGUAGCUAAAUGCGGAAGAGAUAAGUGCUGAAAGCAUCUAAGCACGAAACUUGCCCCGA
rnacentral:rRNA from 1 species